rnacentral:rRNA from 1 species
CCUACGGGAGGCAGCAGUGGGGAAUAUUCCACAAUGGGGGAAACCCUGAUGCAGCGACGCCGCGUGAGUGAAGAAGUUUUUCGGUAUGUAAAGCUCUAUCAGAAGGGAAGAAAAUGACGGUUCCUGAUUAAUAAGACCCGGCUAAAAACGUGCCAGCAGCCGAGGUAAUACGUAGGGGGCAAGCGUUAUUCGGAUAUACUGGGUGUAAAGGGAGCGUAGACGGUAGUACAGGUAGGGAGUGAAAAGCCGGGGCUUAACCCCCGGACUGCUUUGGAAACUGUGCAGCUAGAGUUAAGGAGAGGUAAGUGGAAUUCCAAGUGUAGCGGUGAAAUGCGUAGAUAUUAGGAGGAACACCAGUGGCGAAGGCAGCUUACUGGACUGUAACUGACGUUGAGGGUCGAAAGCGUGGGGAGCAAACAGGAUUAGAUACCCGAGUAGUC